CUACCAAACCCUGUCAAACUCCGAAUACCCUAACUCUAGAGCAUGGCAGUGAGACUGUGGGGGAUAAGCUCCAUUGUCAAGAGGGAAACAGCCCAGAGCACCAGUUAAGGCCCCAAAAUAAUUACUAAGUGAUAAAGGAAGUGGGAGUGCAAAAACAAUCAGGAGGUUCGCUUAGAAGCAGCAACCCUUUAAAGAGUGCGUAAUAGCUCAC
rnacentral:rRNA from 16 species